AUGUUUGGCUAUGAUAUUCAUGGUCGACAACCUUCUAUCGAGAGAUUAGUGGUGCAUAUGCCUGCUAUGAAUCGAGUUAUUUUUCAUGAAACUGAUGAUUUGGAAAGAGUACUAAGUAAUCCAUCUGCUCAUAAAACUAUGUUAACUGAAUGGUUUGUAGCUAACCAGCAACAUCUUAGUGCUCGGACAUUAACUUAUUUGGAAUUCCCUUCUAAAUGGUGUUGGGAUAGCAAAGAGAAGAUAUGGUCAAAGCGAAAACGACAGCAAAAAUUGGGCAAUAAGAUUGGUCGUAUCUACCAUGUGCAUCCAAGCACAGGGGAGUUAUUUUUUCUUCGCAUGUUGCUUAUGAUUGUUCCUGGUGCUACUUGCUUUGAAGAUCUCAAAGUUUACGAUGAUGUUCUUUAUGAUACUUUCAAGGAGGCCUGCCAAGCCAGAGGAUUGGUAGGAGAUGAUAAUGAGUGGUUUAGGUUGUUUGAUGAAGCAAUUGUUUGGGCUACUCCGUUUCAGUUGCGCCAUCUAUUUAUGGCAGUAUUGUUACAUUGUGAAAUUUCUAAUGGUCGUGCUCUUUUUGAGCGUUAUUGGCCAAGUAUGGCAGAGGAUAUUUCUUAUCGUCUUUCAAUGGCAUUGGGCAACCGAAGAUAUGUUGCGCCACCUGAGUUUCUUUAUGAACAAGUUUUGCGUGAACUUGGUUCCCUUUUUGCUAAGAAUGGAUCAUGUUUGUCAGCGUUUAAUUUGACAACACGAUCGAUUUCAGUAGAUUCUGACUGUCAAAAUAGACUUGUGGCAGAAGAAAUGAGGUAUGAUACAGUCAAAUUAGCAAUUGAGGCUAAGCUUACAUAUGAAAAAUUAAAUUGUGAACAGAGUGCCAUAUAUGACGAGAUUGUACAUGCUGUUCAUGUCGGGAAAGGUGGCCCAUAUUUUAUAUCAGGUUAUGGUGGGACUGAUAAAACAUUUCUUUGGAAUUCUAUCAUUUCCAAUUUACGAUCAGAAAGAAGAAUUGUUCUUGCUGUUGCUUCUUCAGGGCGUUGCAUCUUUACUCCUGCCUGGUGGUCGCACUGGUCAUUCUAG
rnacentral:rRNA from 1 species